GCUUCUCUGCCUUAGUAGACCCUGUAACGCAGAUUUUCUUUCCUUCUGAUACUUUCCUUGUGAGAGACAGACGUGUUUCAGUGAGAGAAAACCAGUUAGCGAUAGUUUGUGAUAGUUUGCCAUCGAUAGAUAAUCCCAGAGUUUGCUUGAAGAACCAGCGCAAACGGAGAAGCCAUGAACGCCUCCACCAGUUCAAAGGCUCCAAGAGUCCCAGUUAUUACUGUGGACAUGAUCACACCAACGAUCCAAGAUUUCAUUUUGUCCAUCUCCUUGAAGCAGAGCAUGGAUUUGACCUCAGGACAACUUGAUGGUGACACCAAGUCCAAGGUAAAGGAGCUGCUGUUGAAGCUAGAGGAGAAAUGUACCGCCUUCGUUCUGCGUAAAAUCUACAAAGGACGCCUCAGAUCUUUGGACGUGGAAACCGUUGUGGGCGACUCAGUGCUAAGAUCAUUUGCAGACGUCCUUUGGGUUGAAGGAACGACUCCCCCCAAGAACUUUGACAAGUUUAACAAGUCAUUUGUUAAACAUGUCAAAGGAAAAGUGAGAUCUUCCCUCUGCUGCAUGAAUGAUCCAGCAGCUUCCUUCGUCCUGCAAAUCUCUGAGAAGGACACGGUGGAUUCAAUGGUUCCACUUGCAGUGACAUUGAUAAAGGAGCUGUUAGAGAUGAAAAAUGAAGAACGUCAGCAGAGGCUGCUGCGAAAAGCUGCUGAAGGCCAGCAAAAUGCCCUCAAGGAGCAGCAGACAGGAGAGCUUCACCACCAUGGACGGUACCAGGUGCUACCGACAAUCCCAGAGGAACCAGAACUUGAAGAGGCAGCAGCAGAGAUGAACGAGGUAAAUUAUUUUAACUUUAAAGAGAUGGAAUCAGAGCUUUAGAUGGUGGAUGAAUUUAUAUCUGAUAAUAUUUCUGAAAUCAUUUAGUUAAAUAAUUUUAUCUCUUAGGAAAAGGAGUCUGAGUUGAAGAUGGUGGAUGAAUUCAUCUCUGAGGAACUUUCAAAGAUUAAUGAGGUAAAUUAUUUUAACUUUAAAGAGGUGGAAUCAGAGCUUUAGAUGGUGGAUGAAUUUAUAUCUGAUGAGAUUUCUGAAAUGAUUUAGUUAAAUAAUUGUAUCUCUUAGAAAAAGAUGUCGGCGUUAAAGAUGGUGGACAGAUUCAUCUCUGAGGAACUAGGAGUAGUCAAAGACAUCCACAUUCCACAGAAGAAAAAGCGUCCUCAGAGCUCUAGGAAGUCCUGCAGUAGGUACCACCAUGGACGGUACGAGGUGCUACCGGUCACCCCAGAGGAACCAGAACUUGAAGAGGCACCAGCAGAGAUGAAUGAGGUAAAUUAUUUUAACUUUAAAGAGAUGGAAUCAGAGCUUUAGAUGGUGGAUGAAUUUGUAUCUGAUAAUAUUUCUGAAAUGAUUAUGGUAAUUAUUUUAUCUCUUAGGAAAAGGAGUCAGAGUUGAAAAUGGUGGACGAAUUCAUCUCUGAAAAUGGAGGCUUGAAGGAUAGAGUUGCUACAGCUACAGCAAAACAGCAGAACAGAGGAGUUGGAGUCAGGAUCCAAAGGUUCCUUCAAAAAUACAGUGAGCGACGAUACAAGAGAGUUUCACCAGAGUUACUGGCUGUUAAAGAGGAACUGAGAAAGCAGGAGACGGAUGUUACAGAGGUUCAAAAAUCUGUGUCAGAGGAGCAGAUUCAUCAAGUAAUGAAUAGAAAGGAAAGAGAAGUUAAGCCGGCACCAGAAGCUACCACACAGGUUGAUGAGCCGCUGCCCAUGGAUUCAGGCUCAGAGAAGGAGGAGCAGCAGUCAUUCAUCAGCCUGCUGGUUCAUGCACUGGUUAUACAGGCUGUUACUAAAUCAAAGAUGAGGUGCAAAUACACAAAGUUUCAAGAAAUCACCAAGAGGCUGUCUGAGAAACUCUGUGCUGAGGUGGAGGGAGGAGAAUUUAAGAAGAACCAAAGUAGCCUGAAUAAGCUCAGCGCUGACAUCUUGAGAGCCUCCUGUAAAAAGACUGGCUGCUCACAUAUAAACCUUCUUUCAAUACUGGGCCAUAAGGACUCAAACGUAGAGGAGGCUGUACUUUCUGUUUGCAAAGAGAAAAUCCUGAAGACAGCCAAGGAACCCAUUCUGAAAAGGUUCUUCUUCUCUGUCGGCAAAGCCCUCUGCAAGCCCUUUAAAAAGGCCUGAGGGCAACCUGGAGUCAUCCGGUUAGAACACUACCUGCUAAAAUCUACACGGCAGGUUUCCAACCAGAAGUCUGGAAAUAAUCAACACAGCUACAUUCACUGACCAAACAUUUCCACCAAAUCUUCACCAAGUCGGCACCCAGUAGACAUGGCCUGAAUGGGACAUAAUUUAAUCCACAGGCAGACAGAUGGAUGAUGGUGUCAGAAAUGUUGACUUUCAGGAAGCCGCUACGUCAGAAAGGGCCACCAGAGAGCAUGAGUGGUGGCAUGGUGAGUGAAGCAGUGGUGUCACAGGCAGCUACCGGAGCGUCUGGCAGUCAGUCAGAGCAGCAGGUGAAGGUCAGUGAACACAGAGUCUGUCUCGCAGGCUCUUCAGACAGCAUCACCAGCACUUGAUGGAGUUGGAUGGAGUUUGUGUUGUGGGUUUGUGUGAGGAUGGCUUGUAGAGAUCCACUAGCCUAGCUGAUGGAGCAUACCGAUGUCUUGGUGAACAAUGCUGGAACCAGACAUCUGUAAGCCCCACAUGCUGCGUAUUUAGGCUGUUUGAGAGUUUAUUUGUUUCCAUUGGUGAGCAUGUGGGAUAUACAGAUGUUGCAGCUGACCCAUGCUGGAACCAGACAUCUGUAUUUCCUCACAUGCUGCCAUUGAGCCUGGAAGGCAGUUUUGUGGCCUUGCCUGAAAUAUGCGGUGUAAAAUCGUCAUGGUUACCAA